GAUGAACGCUGGCGGCGUGCUUAACACAUGCAAGUCGAACGGAAAGGCUCCUGCUUGCAGGGGUACUCGAGUGGCGAACGGGUGAGUAACACGUGGGUGAUCUGCCCUGCACUUCGGGAUAAGCCUGGGAAACUGGGUCUAAUACCGGAUAGGACCACAUUUUGGAUGGUGUGGUGGAAAGUUUUUCGGUGUGGGAUGAGCUCGCGGCCUAUCAGCUUGUUGGUGGGGUAAUGGCCUACCAAGGCGUCGACGGGUAGCCGGCCUGAGAGGGUGUACGGCCACAUUGGGACUGAGAUACGGCCCAGACUCCUACGGGAGGCAGCAGUGGGGAAUAUUGCACAAUGGGCGCAAGCCUGAUGCAGAGACGCCGCGUGGGGGAUGACGGCCUUCGGGUUGUAAACUCCUUUCGCUAGGGACGAAGCGUUUUUGUGACGGUACCUGGAGAAGAAGCACCGGCUAACUACGUG
rnacentral:rRNA from 1 species